AUGGAGGCGCCUUGGGAGGACGCGUCGCUGCAGGGCUCCUGGGUGGAGGUGCCUCCUUUCGGGCAGGAGCCGCCCAUGCUGGCCUGCGCGCCCUGCGGCGGCGACCUGGAAGCGGUCCUGUUGGAAGCCCAGAUGGAGGCGGAGCGCGGCGACGGUCCACUCCUGGCAUUGAAAGUACCCGCUGCAGAGGACCUGAGUGUGGGGCAGGUGAGUGCCAGCAGGGAAGCUGUUGAAGGAACACCAUGCACGCAGGCCAGCCCCUCGCCCGCCCAGCUUCCUUGGAGGUCAUUGCUUCAGCUAGCUGCAGGAAUCCAAAGCGUGGGAAGGCAUCACGGCCAGCCCCACAGGAUAGGCUUCCAGGAGGCCCCAAGAGCUGGCUCCAAAGGGGGAGGAGAGGGUCUUUCCCACAGAUUCUGUUUCUCCUUGCAGAGGGAAGACCUGGAGAGCCCGGUCCAGAGGGGGGUCCUGGCUUGGCCAUGGUCUAGCGCCCCUGAACAUCUCUCCUCCAAGGAGUCAGCCUGUAUUUCCCCUGUGGUAACGUGCCCCUCCUUGCUCAGCCCGGCUCUGCACAGGAGGAGGGGGCUGCGGGACCCCCAGCUGCUACUCCUCAUCAUCCCCUCUCUGCUACUCAGCCAUGUCGUGGCCCUAGGCCUUGGGUGAGUGAGGCGGAGUGUAGGCAGAGGCAGAAAAGCCUCCUGUCCCUAGGCUCUUGAGCCUGCAUCGCACAAAUGCCCUCGCAGCUUCCUUGCCACGAAUUCACUGCCAACCCCAGCAGCCUGUAAACUGGGGGGGGGGGUUGGAGGGAGGGGGGGGAGACCUGGCCAAAGUGGUAGUUUACCCCUCAUUCUCUCUUUCGCGUUUCAACCCUCACCCACCCACCCAGCUCUGCCCCAGCUGACACGGCCCUCCUCUCUUUCUUUCCUCCCUCCCUUUCCUCCAGCAUCUGCAUCGGCAAGCGCCUGGCCACCUCCUCGGCAAGCAGCCUGUGAUGGGGCACAGCCAUCUCUCCCUGGAUCCCUCUCUUCAGAGCCCUGCUCCCCCCUCUCCCUGAAUGGCCAGCUGAGGAGAGAUCCCCAAGCCAGGAUCAUUUCCCCAGGACCUUCUCCUGCCUGAAAAAAAGAGAAGAAACGAUGGAAAGAGCUUGCAAUCCAAAUAUCAUGUGUGUCUCAAUCUUUCUGGGCCUCAGGGGCCACAUCCGAACCCCCCCCAAAGUCUUGAUGGCCUCAGCCCCCAAGCCCCUUCUCCUGUCGAGGGGCAAGGAUUCUGCAGCUCCCUUCUUUUCUGGGCAGCUUGCUGGGGAGGGUGGGCCUGGUUUUUGACUGACAUAGAGAAGAUAGAUUUUUAAAUGCAGCAUAUGAGUGGCUUGUGGAAAUCCCUAGCACUAGAAGCCAUGGCAGGUGGUAUGCAAUAUUACCAAACCCAUCCAGGCAAAUUGGGGGCUCAAUGAACGAUAGGGAAGGAGACAGAGAAGCCCAGCCCGUUGUCCGCGGACAGAUUUCAAGGCUGCUGAAAUGGGGGGGGGAGGGGGCUCUGGCUCUUCCCCUUCCUGCUCAGUCCUUGGACCCAAAUGUUGGAACACCAGCUGGUUAGCAGGAGGGCACUCAGGCCAGAACGGCCCCCUCCCUGCCACCGGCCGCGUGCAGGCUGCCUCGCUCACCCUCAGCAUUAGAACUCCGCGGACUGCUCUCCUCUGCAGACUUGACCGCGACGCCCUUCCUUUCCGUGAAUAAACCCUGGUGAAAAGCUCUUGGUCGCCCA
ensembl:lncRNA BCL2/adenovirus E1B 19 kDa protein-interacting protein 3-like